rnacentral:rRNA from 1 species
AAUAUGCGACAAUGGGGGCAACCCUAUUCCAGCCCUGCCGCGAGUGUGAAGAAGGUCUUCGGAUUGUAAAGCACUUUAAGUAGGGAGGAAGGGCUGUAGCCUAAUACUUUGAAGUUUUGACGUUACCAACAGAAUAAGCACCGGUAAACUCUGUGCCAGCAGCCGCGGUAAUACAGAGGGUGCAAGCGUUAAUCGGAAUUACUGGGCGUAAAGCGCGCGUAGGUGGUUCAGUAAGAUGGGUGUGAAAGCCCCGGGCUUAACCUGGGAACUGCUUUCAUAACUGCUGAGCUAGAGUACGGUAGAGGGUAGUGGAAUUUCCUGUGUAGCGGUGAAAUGCGUAGAUAUAGGAAGGAACACCAGUGGCGAAGGCGACUACCUGGACUGAUACUGACACUGAGGUGCGAAGGCGUGGGGAGCGAACA